rnacentral:rRNA from 1 species
AGCAGCCGCGGUAAUUCCAGCUCCAAUAGCGUAUAUUAAAGUUGUUGCAGUUAAAAGCUCGUAGUUGAAUUUCGGGGUCAGUAAGUUGGUCGUGCCACUGGUAUGUACUGGCUUUACUGAUUCCUCCUUCUUGUAGAACCGUAAUGCCAUUAAGUUGGUGUUGCGAGAAAACAGGACUGUUACUUUGAAAAAAUUAGAGUGUUUAAAGCAGGCUCACGCUUGAAUACAUUAGCAUGGAAUAAUGAAAUAGGACGUUUGAUUCUAUUUUGUUGGUUUCUAGGAUUGACGUAAUGAUUAAUAGGGAUAGUUGGGGGCAUUAGUAUUCAAUUGUCAGAGGUGAAAUUCUUGGAUUUAUUGAAGACUAACUACUGCGAAAGCAUUUGCCAAGGAUGUUUUCAUUAAUCAAGAACGAAAGUUAGGGGAUCGAAGACGAUCAGAUACCGUCGUAGUCUUAACCAUAAACUAUGCCGACUAGGGAUCGGAUGAUGUUAAUUUUUUAAUGACUCAUUCGGCGCCUUAC